GCCAGCAUAGCUCAGCGGCAGAGCAGCGCUUUUGUAAAGCGAAGGUCGGGGGUUCAAAUCCCUCUGCUGGCU
rnacentral:tRNA from 1 species